rnacentral:rRNA from 1 species
AUGUAUGGAAUUAUCAAAAAAAUGUUCACAUUUUUGAUAAUUGUUCAUGUUUCCAAGAGUAUUCGGCAAUUUAUAAUAAUAUUUAUUAUUAUUUUAAAAGUUCAAAUAAAAUCAAAAAAAUAUUUCAAAUCUGACGGUCAUUCCAGUGCAUGGGAUUUUCACAGACCGCAACGGUCGCCGCCUCCCUCGACCUCCACCACCUGCUGCAAGCCAGGCGCCGCCCUCCGGUCCUCGGAGGUGGCGGAUGAGCAGGGUGGCGCGUCGAGGUUGUUCGCGGGGGGCACUUACUUCGCCAUGGACAACAACACGUUCGCGGAGGCGCGCAUCAGGGCCGCUUUCUACCCCAAAUUCGAGAACGACAAGUCCGAUCAAGAGACAAGAAAACAGAUGAUUGAGAUGGUGUCGCGUGGCUUUGCUACCAUGGAGGUUACGCUGAAGCAUUCAGGAUCUCUAUUCAUGUAUGCUGGUCACCAUGGAGCAUAUUCCAAGAAUAGCUUUGGAAAUAUCUACACUGCUGUGGGCGUUUUUGGCCUGGACCGUAUGUUUCAUGAAGCUUGGGGAAAGGAAGCUCCUCAAAUACAAGCAGAAUUUAAUGAUUAUCUCCAGAAAAACCGGAUAAACAUUUCAAUGGAGCUUGUAACGGCUGAAUUAGGAGACCAUGGGCAAAGGCCAAAGGAUGAUUAUGCCGUGGUUACAGCUGUAACAGAGUUGGGUCAUGGCAAACCAAAGUUCUAUUCUACUCCAGACGUGAUUGCCUUUUGUCGAAAAUGGCGCCUAUCGACAAAUAAUGUCUGGCUAUUUUCCACAAGGAAAUCUGCUACUUCUUUUUUCGUUGCCUAUGAUGCAUUGUGUGAAGUGGGGACUGCCACACUGGUUUGCGAAGCCCUUGACAAAAUAGCUGAUAUAUCUGUACCAGGGUCCAAGGAUCAUUUAAAGGUACAGGGUGAGAUACUUGAAGGUCUGGUUGCCCGUAUUGUUAGUCAUCAAAGUUCAGAUCAAAUGAAAGAAGUCUUGAGAAGCCUCUCACAGGCUCCAUUACAUGGAGUUGAAUCUGAUUUAGGACCAAGUUUACGUGAAAUAUGUGCCGCUAAUAGGUCAGAUGAAAAGCAGAAAAUUAAAGCAGUUCUUGAAAAUGUCAGAUCUUCAAUGUGUCCAGACCACUCUGAUUGGUUUGGAAACAGUAGUCUUGAUGCUCAGUCUCGAAACACUGAUAAAUCACUUGUCACUUACUUUUUGGAAGCACAUCCUACAGACUAUGCAACUAAGAAAUUGCAGGAGAUGUUUCGUUUGAUGAAGCAGAGACAUUUCCCUGCAGCGUUCAAAUGUUACUUGAAUUACCAAAAUGUUGAUUCUCUUUCAUACAAGAUGGUUAUCCAUGUGCGCAAUGAUUCUAUUUGUAAACGUUAUCAGCAAGAGAUGAGGAAAAAUCAAGGGUUAUGGCCACUGUACAGGGGUUUCUUCAUUCAUAUAAACCUGUGCAAGGCGAACAAUAAGAAGGGCGCUGAACUUUCCGAAGACAGUAACACUUCACUGGAAAUUAUUGAUGGUGCCGUGGAUUCAAGUUCGUCAGCUCAGGAUGGUCUGGCUGGUGAGGAUUCAAGUUUGAUGCUCAAACUAAAAUUCCUGAAAUAUAAGAUCAGGACCUUUUUAAUUCGGGAUGGCCUCUCCACCCUUUUCAAUGAUGGCCCAUCUAAAUAUCGAGUUUAUUACCUGAAGCACAUGGGGAAUUGGGGAACAUCAGCACGUAAACAGAAAGAGCUUUGCAAACUGUUGGAUCAAUGGGCUGUCCACAUUACAUUAAAGUGUGGCAAUAAGCCACUCUCGUCCUCAGCGUAUCUUGAUGAGGCAGAGCCUUUCCUUGAACAAUAUGCUGACCAGGAUCUGGAUGAUCUUCAGCCAGAACGUGGGACAGCACCUUGUAGUCCUACAACGUCCCUCGACGUUGUUUCCAAAACUGAGGGCCUCGUUGUCUUCUUUCCUGGUAUACCUGGUUGUGCAAAGUCUGCUCUAUGUAAGGAAAUAUUGGAAAUGCCUGGUGGCCUUGGUGAUGAUCGCCCUCUUCAUUGUUUGACAGGAGAUCUUAUUGGAGGAAGAUACUGGCAUAAGGUUGCUGAUAAGCGAAAAGAGGAACCAUUUAGAAUAACCCUCGCCGAUAAAAACGCACGAAAUGAGAAAGUGUGGCGGCAGAUUGAGGAUAUAUGCCGGACCACAAAAGCAGCUGCUGCUCCUGUUAUUCCUGAUUCUGAAGGCACCGAUACAAAUCCAUUUUCUUUGGAAGCUCUUGCUGUUUUCAUGUUUCGUGUGCUCCAACGGGUCAAUCAUGAUGGACAUCUGGACGUGGCAUUAUGGAAUGCUGGUUAUGUUUUGAUGAGAUCAUCUCCAUUGCCUGGUGAUGUUAAAACUAUCUUAGAUGAGGUGCUUAGCUUAUUCAUUCAUGGAAGAGCGGAGCUAUUAGAAGGUUGGGCACAGUCACAGUGGGAGAAGAGGUUGCGUGAGAUCUUGUUCGGGAAUGCUGAUUAUCUUAAAUCCAUUCAGGUUCCCUUUGAGGUUGCUGUGAAAGAAGUAGUGGAACAGUUAAAGGCUGUGGCAAAAGGUGAUACCAAAACACCUGAUACUGCGAAGCGGAGGUUCGGCAAUAUCAUUUUCGCUGCUGUGACAUUAUCCCAGGCAGAUAUAUUGGGCCUUGUCCAGCAGGUUGCGGAGAACGACACUGAUGUCAACAAUUUUCUUAACGGCAUAAAAUUAGAGGAUAACCUGAUGAACGUGCAUGUCACCCUCGCCCACAAAAGAGCCCAUGGUGUAGCUGCAGUUGCAAGUUACAGCGUCUACCUGAACCAGAAAGUCCCCGUAUCGUUUAAUGCAUUCUUCUACAACGACAAGAUGGCUGCGCUCGGAGCACAUCUUGGAAUGGUAAAUGGCGAGGCUAUUGUCUCUAAAAAUGAUUUUCCACAUUGUACUCUAUGGACAGUCGGAGGUGUUGCACCAAAGGAAGCAAACACACUGCCACAGUUGGUUUCCGAAGGAGAAGCAAAGCGGGUGUUGAUCGACUCUCCUAUCACCAUCUCUGGAGUAGUAAACUUUUAUUGA